UAAUCAACGACUUCUGCAAUCAAUUUAAAAGGUUAUACAUUCAAGGCUAAUCAUUACUCCAUUAUCAAAUAUGUACAUAUAUAAAGAUAAAUAUGACAAUGUAAUUUGAUCAUCAGACGAUGUUAUAAUUAAAAUCAAAUUUAACCAUCAAUUAAUUAUUUAUUUACAAUAAAUAUGACAGAAUAUACUCAUUGUACUAAGGAGUGGUACAAAUUCAAAAAUUGAAGUAAUUAUAGGUUAAUGGAGUAAUAAAAGUUGAUUGUAUAAAUAUUUAUUUAUUAUGGUAGAGGCAUUAACGAUAACUAUUAUUAUGUAAGAUUAAUGAAGCCUAAGUUUGAAUGAAUAAAACGUAACCGAAUGAUGAUGGAGGGUACAGGAAAAAAAUGUGGGUAAUAAAAGUCUCAUAAUAGUGCAUAAUCGCUUCUAGUGUGAGAAUUGUUGCUACUGUCUCACGCAAGAUCCUAAGCUUCAUAUUGAAGGAACAAUAAAAAAAAAAAAAGAAUUGAAAUAUUGAGGAAAAAACAAACUUUGUCACUUAAAUAUCAGGUAGUAGAGGAGUUUUUGAAGAAACUAAUUGCAUACGGUCGCGUCCUUUGGCUUUCUCCCAGUGAAAUUUCUAAAUAAUGUACUUGGAGAAUUUAUUUACUUCCGGACCAUUUGAUCGAUAAUAGAAUCAAUGAAAUAUGAAUAGAAACAUGAUAAUGAGAAUA